rnacentral:rRNA from 1 species
AUUGAACGCUGGCGGCAGGCCUAACACAUGCAAGUCGAACGAGUGGCGGACGGGUGAGUAAUGUCUGGGAAACUGCCUGAUGGAGGGGGAUAACUACUGGAAACGGUAGCUAAUACCGCAUACCAUCAGAUGUGCCCAGAUGUGAUUCGCUAGUGGGUGGGGUCGCGGCUCACAAAGGCGACGGUCCCUAGCUGGUCUGAGAGGGGGACCAGCAACACUGAAACUGAGAAACGGUCCAGACGCCUACGGUAGGCAGCAUUGGGGAAUAUUGCACAAUGGGCGCAAGCCUGAUGCAGCCAUGCCGCGUGUAUGAAGAAGGCCUUCGGGUUGUAAAGUACUUUCAGCGGGGAGGCGUUACCCGCAGAAGAAGCAACGGCUAACUCCGUGCCAGCAGCCGCGGUAAUAC